UCUCUUUCCAAUGAACAACCCUGCCUCCUGUUCCGCUCGGCUAUCCUAUAUGCUACGUUGUAGUACAUUGCAGUUUUUGGAAAUCGUGGUUCGGCUUAUCAGCGGAAUGUAGGGCGGUAGUACCCACGAGAAGCUAAUUCGCGCCAUUACUGAUGUCGUAAUGACAUUUGAUGUGUUGCUGCAAGUCAGGUUUUUAAUCCAAACAUUGAACCUUUUUCAUCGGUAUUUUUGGAUUGUCUGAUGUUGUGUGCCUUUAACGUGUUUGAGAACUGUGUAAAGUCGAUUUAUUGGUGUGGUAUAUGGUUUGAAACAUCUCAAAUAGUUUAGCAUCAAGAAUAUUUAGUGGUUCCCAACUGAAGAAUUACAUUUUCGGGCAAAAAGUAAGAGAUGCAUAAUCAAAAGUGGCAGAAAAGCAUAUCAUAAAGUUCAGUUUUAUAGCAAUUUUUUUUGAACUAAACGCCAAACAAUUAGCUUGAGGAGAAAACUCUUACACCAGUGGACAUGUGGAAAGGUUUUUAUUUAUGGGAAUUGCCAGCCACCCCUCAUCAAGGAACAAGGAAGAGCAAGGCAGCAUGUAGGUACUUGCCCCAGGGAAAGACUGUGCUACUCACAUAUGGUAGCACUUUUAUAUCACGCACAUUACAAUGUUAGUGCGACGGACAUUGAGAGCCAUUGGAAUACCCCAUGUUCUAAGCCCCCAGCGAGGAAAAUACUGUUAAAUUAAUAAACUUAUAAUGCUUGCGGGCUGGAGCCCAGCUCUUCACCGUUUUAAGAUUGAAACGUGUUGGUUUUGUAAAUAUAUUUAAGUAACACUCUAAUAUUGUAUUGUUGUUAUGUUUAGAAGUAAAUAUAAGAAUCUGUAGCCGAA
rnacentral:lncRNA from 1 species